rnacentral:rRNA from 1 species
GUCCGACGACGGAGCCGGGCUUGGCCGGAAGAUCAGAAGGGCUUCCCCGAGCGGGGCCGUCCGGUCGUCCGAGCGACGUCGUCUGACGCACUUGUCUCUCGUCCGAAGGACGCCGCAGCCGGUGGGGCAGCGCAAGCACGACGGCCUGAAGGCGGGGAAAUGGCAGGUGGCCGGUGGUCCGUCUAGGCGGUUCGCCGGUUGUUAGCCGUCCCCGCAGUGGCCCGUCGCUCCACCGAGGUGUCACGAGGCCCCUCACGGGGCUCCUCCGCCUCCUCCGUGCAAACGGAUGCGGGACAGAAGAUCGCAGGCGAGUUGUCCGCCGUCCCGUUCCACCCUUCCGGGGUGUUCGGGCGCACGGCGCGCGCCGUUGGCGGUCUCGGACCCGUCGGAGGUUGGCGGCUGGCGGCGAGUAGGUCGGUCACCCACCCGACCCGUCUUGAAACACGGACCAAGGAGUCUAACAUGUGCGCGAGUCAAUGGGUCUUGAACAGGCCUAAAGGCGCAAUGAAAGCAAAGGUGGACUUCAGGUCCACCGAGUUGGGAUCCUCGUCUUCUUAUGCGGGGCGCACCAACGACCCGUCCCGUCCGGCUCGCCGGUGGGGCGGAGUGUGAGCGUACACGUUGGGACCCGAAAGAUGGUGAACUAUGCCCGGACAGGACGAGGCCAGAGGAAACUCUGGUGGAGGUCCGCAGCGGUCUGACGUGCAAAUCGAUCGUCAGAUCCGGGUCUAGG